UACGGAGGGAGCUAGCGUUGUUCGGAUAUACUGGGCGUAAAGCGCACGUAGGCGGCGCAGCAAGUCAGGGGUGAAAUCCCGGGGCUCAACCCCGGAACUGCCCUGAAACUGCAGUGCUAGAAUCUUGGAGAGGCGAGUGGAAUUCCGAGUGUAGAGGUGAAAUUCGUAGAUAUUGGGAAGAACACCGGUGGCGAAGGCGGCGACCUGGUCCGUGACUGACGCUGAGGCGCGAAAGCGUGGGGAGCAAACAGG
rnacentral:rRNA from 1 species